GCAGAUAUUACAGGUAGUCUUGUCCCAUGAUCCCUUGCACUUCGUUAUUGGGGUCAUGUAACGGCUGUAUCAAUGUUUAAUGGCGGCGCCCAUGACGCAUCUAAACGUGCGAAAUUCGUAGCCUGUGGAAAAAAAUGGAAAGUCAUCGAAUACACAAUUUUUCAUAUAAACUGCUUGAUUAAAGUCUGAAAAAUAUGCUUUCUGAAGAUAUUCAUUCCUGAAGCCAAAGAAGUGCCAUAAACUGGAGCCAAUGUAUUUUGGAAUGAUUCUGCUCGAAAACUUUAUGAACCCUGUGGAUCAUCUGUAACUGGAAUUUUAAUAAAGAUUUUUAUACUGGUCAUCACUGGUCACUACUGUAAGGACACAUGAAAGAAGAAUGGUGUUGCAGCUUUAUCUAUAACUUGUCUAUAAGCUGUAAUAAAGUAUUAAAUCUG